rnacentral:rRNA from 1 species
GACAGAGGGUGCAAACGUUGUUCGGAAUUACUGGGCGUAAAGCGCGUGUAGGCGGCUCGGAAAGUCGGAUGUGAAAGCCCUGGGCUUAACCUAGGAAGUGCAUUCGAAACUCCCGAGCUUGAGUUCUGGAGAGGAAGGCGGAAUUCUCGGUGUAGAGGUGAAAUUCGUAGAUAUCGAGAGGAACACCGGUGGCGAAGGCGGCCUUCUGGACAGUGA